rnacentral:rRNA from 1 species
GUUGUAUAGUCAAGUAAUUAAGUGCAUGUGGUGGAUGCCUUGGCAGUCAGAGGCGAUGAAAGACGUGAUAGCCUGCGAAAAGCUCCGGGGAGGCGGCAAAUAUCCUUUGAUCCGGAGAUGUCUGAAUGGGGGAACCCACCUACUUUAAGGUAGGUAUUGCAACAUGAAUACAUAGUGUUGCAAGGCGAACGAGGGGAAGUGAAACAUCUCAGUACCCUUAGGAAAAGAAAUCAAUUGAGAUUCCCUCAGUAGCGGCGAGCGAACGGGGAUCAGCCCAUUAAGUUAUGUGUGUUUUAGUGGAACGCUCUGGGAAGUGCGAACGUAGAGGGUGAUAUUCCCGUACACGAAAGGGCACACAUAAUGAUGACGAGUAGGGCGAGGCACGUGAAACCUUGUCUGAAUAUGGGGGGACCAUCCUCCAAGGCUAAAUACUCCUGACUGACCGAUAGUGAACCAGUACCGUGAGGGAAAGGCGAAAAGAACCCCUGUGAGGGGAGUGAAAUAGAUCCUGAAACCGCAUGCAUACAAGCAGUGGGAGCACCUUCGUGGUGUGACUGCGUACCUUUUGUAUAAUGGGUCAGCGACUUAUAUUCAGUAGCAAGGUUAACCGUAUAGGGGAGCCGUAGAGAAAUCGAGUCUUAAUAGGGCGUUUAGUUGCUGGGUAUAGACCCGAAACCAGGCGAUCUAUCCAUGAGCAGGUUGAAGGUUGGGUAACACUAACUGGAGGACCGAACCCACUGUCGUUGAAAAGCCAGGGGAUGACUUGUGGAUAGGGGUGAAAGGCUAAUCAAGCCUGGUGAUAGCUGGUUCUCCCCGAAAGCUAUUUAGGUAGCGCCUCGGACGAAUACCAUAGGGGGUAGAGCACUGUUUCGGCUAGGGGGUCAUCCCGACUUACCAAACCGAUGCAAACUCCGAAUACCUAUGAGUACUAUCCGGGAGACAGACUGCGGGUGCUAACGUCCGUAGUCAAGAGGAAAACAAUCCAGACCGCCAGCUAAGGCCCCAAAAUCAUAGUUAAGUGGGAAACGAUGUGGGAAGGCAUAGACAGCUAGGAGGUUGGCUUAGAAGCAGCCACCCUUUAAAGAAAGCGUAAUAGCUCACUAGUCGAGUCGGCCUGCGCGGAAGAUGUAACGGGGCUAAAACUAUGUGCCGAAGCUGCGGAUUUGACAUUAGUCAAGUGGUAGGGGAGCGUUCUGUAAGCCGAUGAAGGUGUAUUGAGAAGCAUGCUGGAGGUAUCAGAAGUGCGAAUGCUGACGUGAGUAACGACAAAACGGGUGAAAAACCCGUUCGCCGAAAGACCAAGGGUUCCAGUCCAACGUUAAUCGGGGCUGGGUGAGUCGACCCCUAAGGCGAGGCCGAAAGGCGUAGUCGAUGGGAAAAUGGUUAAUAUUCCAUUACUUCUGUGUAAUGCGAUGAGAGGACGGAGAAGGCUAAAUCAGCCUGGCGUUGGUUGUCCAGGUGAAAGGAUGUAGGCAUGUAUCUUAGGCAAAUCCGGGGUACUCUAUGCUGAGAUCUGAUAGCAAGCUGUACUUGUACAGCGAAGUGGUUGAUGCCAUGCUUCCAGGAAAAGUCUCUAAGCUUCAGUUACACAGGAAUCGUACCCGAAACCGACACAGGUGGUCAGGUCGAGUAGACCAAGGCGCUUGAGAGAACUCUGCUGAAGGAACUAGGCAAAAUGGUACCGUAACUUCGGGAGAAGGUACGCUGUUGUUGGUGAUGGAACUCGCUUCCUGAGCUGACGACAGCCGCAGAAACCAGGCCGCUGCAACUGUUUAUUAAAAACAUAGCACUCUGCAAACACGAAAGUGGACGUAUAGGGUGUGAUGCCUGCCCGGUGCUGGAAGGUUAAUUGAUGGGGUUAGCGUAAGCGAAGCUCUUGAUCGAAGCCCCAGUAAACGGCGGCCGUAACUAUAACGGUCCUAAGGUAGCGAAAUUCCUUGUCGGGUAAGUUCCGACCUGCACGAAUGGCAUAAUGAUGGCGGCGCUGUCUCCAGCAGAGGCUCAGUGAAAUCGAAAUCGCUGUGAAGAUGCAGUGUACCCGCGGCUAGACGGAAAGACCCCGUGAACCUUUACUGCAGCUUGACACUGAACUUUGACCUUACUUGUGUAGGAUAGGUGGGAGGCUUUGAAGCUGGAACGCUAGUUCCAGUGGAGCCGUCCUUGAAAUACCACCCUGGUAAUGUUGAGGUUCUAACUCUGUCCCGUGAUCCGGGACGAGGACCGUGUCUGGUGGGUAGUUUGACUGGGGCGGUCUCCUCCUAAAGAGUAACGGAGGAGUACGAAGGUGCGCUCAGCGUGGUCGGAAAUCACGCGUAGAGUAUAAAGGCAAAAGCGCGCUUAACUGCGAGACCCACAAGUCGAGCAGGUACGAAAGUAGGUCUUAGUGAUCCGGUGGUUCUGUAUGGAAGGGCCAUCGCUCAACGGAUAAAAGGUACUCUGGGGAUAACAGGCUGAUACCGCCCAAGAGUUCAUAUCGACGGCGGUGUUUGGCACCUCGAUGUCGGCUCAUCUCAUCCUGGGGCUGAAGCAGGUCCCAAGGGUAUGGCUGUUCGCCAUUUAAAGAGGUACGCGAGCUGGGUUUAGAACGUCGUGAGACAGUUCGGUCCCUAUCUACCGUGGGCGCUGGAAAUUUGAGAGGAUCUGCUCCUAGUACGAGAGGACCAGAGUGGACGAACCUCUGGUGUACCGGUUGUGACGCCAGUCGCAUCGCCGGGUAGCUAUGUUCGGAAGGGAUAACCGCUGAAAGCAUCUAAGCGGGAAGCCUACCUCAAGAUAAGAUUUCCCUAGGACUUUAUGUCCUCUAAAGAGCCGUUCGAGACUAGGACGUUGAUAGGUUGGAUGUGGAAGCAUAGUGAUAUGUGAAGCUGACCAAUACUAAUUGCUCGUGAGGCUUGACUAUACAACACCCAAGCAGUUG